rnacentral:rRNA from 1 species
UCGGGGUACACGAGUGGCGAACGGGUGAGUAACACGUGGGUAAUCUGCCCUGCACAUCGGGAUAAGCCUGGGAAACUGGGUCUAAUACCGAAUAGGACCACAGACCACAUGUCCUGUGGUGGAAAGCUUUUGCGGUGUGGGAUGGGCCCGCGGCCUAUCAGCUUGUUGGUGGGGUGAUGGCCUACCAAGGCGACGACGGGUAGCCGGCCUGAGAGGGUGUCCGGCCACACUGGGACUGAGAUACGGCCCAGACUCCUACGGGAGGCAGCAGUGGGGAAUAUUGCACAAUGGGCGAAAGCCUGAUGCAGCGACGCCGCGUGGGGGAUGACGGCCUUCGGGUUGUAAACCUCUUUCACCAUCGACGAAGGUCCGGGUUUUCUCGGAUUGACGGUAGGUGGAGAAGAAGCACCGGCCAACUACGUGCCAGCAGCCGCGGUAAUACGUAGGGUGCGAGCGUUGUCCGGAAUUACUGGGCGUAAAGAGCUCGUAGGUGGUUUGUCGCGUUGUUCGUGAAAUCUCACGGCUUAACUGUGAGCGUGCGGGCGAUACGGGCAGACUUGAGUACUGCAGGGGAGACUGGAAUUCCUGGUGUAGCGGUGGAAUGCGCAGAUAUCAGGAGGAACACCGGUGGCGAAGGCGGGUCUCUGGGCAGUAACUGACGCUGAGGAGCGAAAGCGUGGGGAGCGAACAGGAUUAGAUACCCUGGUAGUCCACGCCGUAAACGGUGGGUACUAGGUGUGGGUUUCCUUCCUUGGGAUCCGUGCCGUAGCUAACGCAUUAAGUACCCCGCCUGGGGAGUACGGCCGCAAGGCUAAAACUCAAAGAAAUUGACGGGGGCCCGCACAAGCGGCGGAGCAUGUGGAUUAAUUCGAUGCAACGCGAAGAACCUUACCUGGGUUUGACAUGCACAGGACGCCGGCAGAGAUGUCGGUUCCCUUGUGGCCUGUGUGCAGGUGGUGCAUGGCUGUCGUCAGCUCGUGUCGUGAGAUGUUGGGUUAAGUCCCGCAACGAGCGCAACCCUUGUCUCAUGUUGCCAGCGGGUAAUGCCGGGGACUCGUGAGAGACUGCCGGGGUCAACUCGGAGGAAGGUGGGGAAUGACGUCAAGUCAUCAUGCCCCUUUAUGUCCAGGGCUUCACACAUGCUACAAUGGCCGGUACAAAGGGCUGCGAUGCCGCGAGGUUAAGCGAAUCCUUUUAAAGCCGGUCUCAGUUCGGAUCGGGGUCUGCAACUCGACCCCGUGAAGUCGGAGUCGCUAGUAAUCGCAGAUCAGCAACGCUGCGGUGAAUACGUUCCCGGGCCUUGUACACACCGCCCGUCACGUCAUGAAAGUCG